UUUUUAUUCUUUUGACAUUUUGCGGCAAAACGAACGCGGCAAAUUCUCCCUCAUUUUCUCUAAUAAAUUUUCUCCCUGUUUUAGUUUCAAAUUCUAGGGUUUUUAAUUUUCUCAGCACUCAACUCUCAGCAGCGAUAUUUUUCUCUCCUCUCGACUUGAAAUUGUUUUCGAGAUCAAUUAGAGUUAUGCGUUUUCAAUUUCGAGAUUAAUUAGAGUUAAGUUCAGUGGUAUUGCAGUAUCAAUAGUGAUGAAGUACGCUGACAAUAUUGUGAAG